GGUCCCUUCGUCUAACGGUUAGGACAUCGCCCUUUCACGGCGGCAAUACGAGUUCGAAUCUCGUAGGGAUCACCA
rnacentral:tRNA from 1 species